GCCUAUAUGUAUCUCCAGAGGUGAGAUGUGUUUCUGGUGGGCGGCAUACAGUGAGGGGGAAGUUGAAAAUACAUGAGAAAACCUCCAUAGUUGAUACCAUAGGAUUUCUGAAAGGAGCCCUAUGGAGAGAGUGGGCUUUAAUAGGAAGAACACUUUCUCCCCUGGAGGAAAAAGCUGCAUGUAAACCCUGGUAGUUUGUAGGUGUGGCAAUGGACAGGACCAUGGCUUCUGUGCUGAAGAAAGCAAACACCAGACGCAUCAGGCCAUGGAUACAGGUCUUUUAAGGAAGCAGUUUCUACUCUAUGCAUGAAACUUGUUUGGAUUGAAACCCAGUUUCAAAGCAUCCUCUGUGUAAACUGAUGAGCACAGGGUUUUGGCACUGUCUCCCUGUGUGCUUGAUAUCCAGAUUUACUGUCUGAUCUUGGAUAUAUUUCAAUGAAAUGAGACCUCUAAUAGUAGAGGAAUAGAUAUUUGUGAAACAGUAUGACAGUGAUAGCAAUUAUUAUAAAAACAAGAAGCACUGCAUAAAUGCCUUAUACAGUAAUAAUUGCGAGAUUUAAUUUGGAGUGGCUUUUCCUUAUUUGCCCAAUAAGUUCUAUUUAAUUAUUUGCUGUGGCAUUAAACUUCCAAGGGGAGCUAGGCAUGGUCUCCACCUGUUUUAAAUACUGUGUGUCUCAAUCACAAACUUAACCUUGUGAAACAUUAGAGUCUCAGUAUCCAUGUUAAAGCUAAUGUUUAACUGGAAAAUGCAUCAGUUAAAUUUAUCUUUUAGAUUUUAUGUAACAUGCUUGCAUGCUGGCACUUUGCAUACCAUUAACAGAAACUAGAAUCCUAUUCUUCUUUUGAAAGUUCAUUUUCUUUUUCAGUACCACGAAAUACCAAACUGAACUUGACUCCAAACAUGCGCUCAGUUUCAAACUGGAUAUGAAGACCAUUUAAGAAUCAUGUGUGAGUGAAUUUCAUUGAAAGAGAAGAAACAUUUAAAAACUUUUAAGUCCUUUCUGAAUUGCUUAUACAUAUAUUCAGCAAUUCAGUGAUGCAGCCUGGAUGUGCACAGACUUGGGUAAUUGGUAUAGCUUCAAGUGGACAUUAUUCUUCUUAUAACAAUACUGCAUUUUCCUCCCUCAAACACUAACCUGCUAUAUUUACAAUUACAUUUGUUGCCAAAUAUAUUAAGUGGACAAAUGGGUCACUGUCUGCCUGCAUUUUUCUGACCCAGUCACAAUUCAUCAAGAAAAACAAAGUUUGGCUGGGAUUCUGAAACAAGCACACUAAGCUGUAAAUGUAUACUUAUGUUUGCAUGUUAGAAUACAUCUUAGUUACACGAUAAAAAGGAGCAGGGGAGAGGUGGGUGCUUGGAAGUAAAAAUGUGACCACAAUGAAAUUUUGACUGCAGCAUUUGAGGAAUGGUGGCAGAGCAGUUGGCAUCAGCUCUUGUCUGCAGCAGUAAUCAGGGCAAAGAAGCAAUCUUCUGUGACCCCAAACUAAGAAUGGAGUCUUGCUUUGAGAAACUCAUGCUUACCAGUUCAGAAGUAACAUGCUAUAGAGAUUUUCAGAAUACUAAUCUAUCUCAGAUUAGUGUAUUAUAAAAUAAAAGUGGACAAAUAUAAAUAAAUAAUUUUUUCAAGUCUUUAUAAAAAUAGUAGGCUAUUGCCUCAUUUUAGGGACAUAAUUUUUAAUGCCAAGUGAAAACUAUGUAGAAAUUCUAAUUACAAAUUUGUGUACAGCUUUACAAUUAUUGUAUGUGUUAGAUGUGCAUGUGUUGAACGUUACUAUAUAUCAUGCUUUGUGCUGCUCAUCGAACAUAUGAAGUUGCAUAAAACAGUCUUUGCUUUUGGGAGACUAAGUUCAGUGUGAGGGGCAGACACUAAAAGUAAAUACUCCGAUAACUGACGAGAGGGUGAAUACCAUA
ensembl:lncRNA novel transcript